rnacentral:tRNA from 1 species
ANUGAANAUGCUAAGAUGAAAAAUAAAAAUUUUCCACAGGCA